rnacentral:rRNA from 1 species
UACAGAGGGUGCGAGCGUUGUUCGGAAUUAUUGGGCGUAAAGGGCGCGUAGGCGGUGCGGUAAGUCACCUGUGAAAUCUCCUGGCUCAACUGGGAGCUUGCAGGCGAAACUGCCGUGCUGGAGUGUGGGAGAGGUGCGUGGAAUUCCCGGUGUAGCGGUGAAAUGCGUAGAUAUCAGGAGGAACACCAAUAGCGAAGGCAGCUCGCUGGGACGUUACUGACACUGAGGCGCGAAAGCGUGGGGAGCGAACAGG